rnacentral:misc_RNA from 1 species
CUGGGAGGAACUUAACACAUGAAAGGCAGAUUGCUCAUGCAGAACUACAAGUUUUCCCCACAAAAUUCUUAAGGGAUAUAUAUGGUUAGCGUUAAUGGAUAUACAAAGGAACCCAGCAAAUGGAAAACAUAAGAGGUAGAAUUUAAUUAUCGGUCUUGGUUUAAUUCUUAAUAGAUACAGGCUAGGUCCUAGAUAAUAUCACAGUUCAGGACCAUCAAGGACAAAUGCUGCCCGAGGCGAGGACUCUUUCAAAAAUUACAACAUGGGGAAAGUGUGGUAAGUCCCAGCGCCCAUAGAUUCUUCGGUGAUUGAGGAUUCUGUGCCUCGAGUUCACCCAGGCUUGAAGAUCUUGAAGGGGAGAGAAAAUCCAUAGCCUAAACCUUCUGCACAUAAAAGUCUAACAUACAUCAGAGAAAAACAAGAAACCGUCUACCAAGAAAAC